UGUGGCUCAGUGGUAGAGCACAUGCCUGGCAUGUGAGGCCCUGGGUUCAAUCCUCAGCA
rnacentral:tRNA from 1 species